UAGUUAAAUUGCUUUAAUCAGCCCCCUCCUAAGGGGCAGUUACAGGUUCGAUUCCUGU
rnacentral:tRNA from 1 species